rnacentral:rRNA from 1 species
UACGUAGGGUGCGAGCGUUAAUCGGAAUUACUGGGCGUAAAGCGUGCGCAGGCGGUUUUGUAAGCCAGAUGUGAAAUCCCCGGGCUCAACCUGGGAAUUGCAUUUGUGACUGCACGGCUAGAGUGUGUCAGAGGGGGGUAGAAUUCCACGUGUAGCAGUGAAAUGCGUAGAGAUGUGGAGGAAUACCGAUGGCGAAGGCAGCCCCCUGGGAUGACACUGACGCUCAUGCACGAAAGCGUGGGGAGCAAACAGG